rnacentral:rRNA from 1 species
UAAGAGGUCCCGCCUGCCCUGUGACUUACGAGUUUAACGGCCGCGGUAUUUUGACCGUGCAAAGGUAGCGCAAUCACUUGUCUUUUAAAUGAAGACCCGUAUGAAUGGCAUAACGAGGGCUAAACUGUCUCCUUUCUCAAGUCAAUGAAAUUAAUCUUCCCGUGCAGAAGCGGGAAUAACAACAUAAGACGAGAAGACCCUAUGGAGCUUUAGACAAAACACAGACUGCAUCAAAUAGAUUAAAAAUAAAUAAACCUAAACCAAGCAAUCCCUGUCCAAUGUCUUUGGUUGGGGCGACCGCGGGGAAACAAAAAACCCCCACGUGGAAUAAGAGUACUCCUCUUUAAACCAAGAGCCACAGCUCUAAAAAACAGAAUAUCUGACCAUAAAGAUCCGGCAUGACCGAUCAACGGACCGAGUUACCCUAGGGAUAACAGCGCAAUCCCCUUCUAGAGCCCAUAUCGACAAGGGGGUUUACGACCUCGAUGUUGGAUCAGGACAUCCUAAUGGUGCAGCCGCUAUUAAGGGUUCGUUUGUUCAACG